GCAAGCCUGCUUGAAUUGGGUUGCUGUC
rnacentral:piRNA from 1 species